rnacentral:rRNA from 1 species
UGUAAGCACAUGCCUUAAAACGGUAAAGCCGCGAAUGGCUCGGUAUAACAGCCACUGUUUAUUAAACUCUAGUUAUCUACUUGGAUAACUGUGGCAAUUCUAGAGCUAAUACAUGCACGCAGGCUCGGACCUUUUGGGAAGAGCGCAUUUAUUAGACCAAAACCAAUCGGGCUUCGGCCUGUGUUUUGGUGACUCUGAAUAACUCAGUCGAUCGCACAGUCUUAGUACUGGCGACGUAUUUUUCAAAUGUCUGCCUUAUCAACUUUCGAUGGUAGGUUAUACGCCUACCAUGGUUAUAACGGGUAACGGAGAAUUAGGGUUCGACUCCGGAGAGGGAGCCUGAGAAAUGGCUACCACAUCCAAGGAAGGCAGCAGGCGCGCAAAUUACCCAAUCCCAGAACGGGGAGGUAGUGACGAAAAAUAACGAGGUAAUCCACUUUGUGGCUUGCCAUCGGAAUGGGCACAAUAUAAU